rnacentral:rRNA from 1 species
GGACUACUAGGGUAUCUAAUCCUGUUUGCUCCCCUAGCUUUCGUGCCUCAGUGUCAGGAGUUGUCCAGGGACUCGCCUUCGCCACUGGUGUUCCACUUGAUAUCUACGCAUUUCACUGCUACACCAAGUAUUCCAGUCCCCCUUCCAACCCUCGAGCAAAGCAGUUUCCAAUGCAUUUUCCGGGUUGAGCCCGGAGAUUUCACAUCCGACUUACUCCGCCACCUACGCACCCUUUACGCCCAGUGAAUCCGAACAACGCUUGGGACCUCUGUAUUACCGCGGCUGCUGGCAC